GCUUCCUACAAAGGUAAGUCUGUGACUCCUGUCCUUGGACAUAUAAGAGUUGGAGGCAAAGAGAUGUGGACUUGGAAAAGUCUGGAGCCAGUUUGCUCCCCACAGGCUCAAGAUAACCCUUUCCCACACAG
rnacentral:snoRNA from 1 species